UUCCUUCUAAACUGGAAUAACUCUCCUUUAGUUUGGCAGGUGAAAUAAACGCUUUGUUUGCCCCCUGAAAAGACGUGUCUUUGGUAAUUAAAGAGAAUCUCCUUCUUGGUAUUUAUCUAAGCGAUUGUGCAAACUGAUAAAAAGUAGGCUAUAGCCUUCAGGGAAAAAGAGGAAAGGUGAAAGAAAAGAUCUUCAACCUCAGGGAAGUGCUUUCCAUGUAUUAUUAGCUUUCAGCCUUGGAAAAUACUGAACACUAACUUUACACCGACAAGGUUUCAGGGAGCUUUGUACAUAGCUGCUGAGGAAUGCACGCCUCGCCUUUAAGAAAAAUCCCCCAAACCUAAGGCAUGUAAGAGAGAUGGUUUGAUUUUUCUGAAAUGGUUCACCCAUCCACAGCUGGAAUUCCAAAGUGAAAUGAAAAUGCCUUUAAAAUCAACACUACACGGGAGCCUGAGAGAACAAGUUUUCCUUUGUUGUAGGAUGAGAAAACUGAAGAGAAGUUAAGUGGCUGGCUCAAGGUCACACAGCUAGGAAAUAUUGGAUUGAAACCCAAGUCUUUUCUUACUCCAGAUCCAACCCUGCUACAUGCUGCCCACAAAUUUAACCACUUCAGGACCUCUUUGAAAUCAUCUGAUUUGAACUAACUAUAGACCCAGUCCUCAUCUACUGCACCAGCCAGCUGGCCUUCUGUUGUACCCCAAAUGCUUAGCACAGUGCCUAUCAUACAAAAAAAGGAAGUCAAAGAAAACCAGAUUGGAAUAUUGCCCAACUGUCAAUUGGAUGGAAUACCUGAGCUUGUCGUGUAAUCAAACUGGGAAUAAUGUAAAACAAAGAAUGUGAAUCAUUUCCGAGUUAAAAUCAGGACCUAAAGUGGAACAUAGGUAGACAAAAUUAACUCAUCUGGAACAUAGGCUUUAUAAACAGCAACAACAACAAAAUGUGACAGUGCUUGAAGAUUUAAUUUGAAAAAGACUACUAGAAUUGGACUUCAAAGUUAAGCUUCACUUUCUUCUUCACUUCUUAAGCCUUCAGAUCAAUCAACAUUCAUAUAUAAGUACAGCACCUUCUUUGAUGAGGGCAUGUCAUGCUGGACAAUCCUGUGCAUCUCCCAUGUCACACAAUCAGUUCUAAAGUUCUUCAGAGAAAUCUCAUUGCAAUAAUCAGAACAACAUAAGAUAACAUUAAACUGUGGUCCAAGCAGUUUAGGCCAAAUACAAGAGAGAAGAGUCAAAUGUGGCUUAGUGGAUACAGAGCUGGCCUCAAAGACAGGAAGACCUGGAUUCAAGUCCUGACUCUGACUUAGACUACUAUGUGACCUUGGGUUUUCUGUAGGUGUCUUAAAAAGGUUCCCAAACCAAUUGUUCCUGCUGUGAUUCUGCCCUUCAGACCUCAGGUGUAGGCCUCAUUACAUUACACCUGCUUUGCUUUGUGGUCACAUGUGGGUGGCGUCAUUCCACAUUAUUCCACUUUUCAAAACCCCUGUAUAAUUGACUCACCCAUUCCAGUUUCCUCUGGGACUAGUGCUGUGUGCCUUGUCUACCUCACAAUUGUGGAACACAAAAAUCACAGAACAACAGAGUUAAAUGGGAUAUUAGAGAUCAUCUAUUCUACACCAUACUAAUACAGGAAUCAUUACUACUACAAUGUUCUAGACCAGUAGGCAUCUUGCCUCAAACUGAAGACCUUCAAUGAUGGAGAACCUAGAACUUUAUAAGGCAAACUCUUUCACUUUUAGACAGCUCUAAAUAUUAGAAAAAUUUUCUCUGCAUUGAAUCUAUAGUUGCCUUGCUACAACAUCUGCUCAUUGUUCCUCUUGGGCCAAGAAGAAUAAUUCAGAUUCUCUUUCUAUGUAAUAGAUUUUCAAACAGUUAUCAUAUUACCUCCUGCUUUCAAGUCCUUUUUUCUCUACGUAAAACACUUGUAGUUCUUGUAACUGAUUCAUAUAAAGCAUGGUUUCCAAUUUCUGUACUCUUUUUUUUUUGUUCUGUUCAAGGUCCUGCUUCAUAAUAAAUGGCUCCCAUAAUUGAACACAA